GGCGUUUUGAAGGAUGACAUCAACAACAUGCUGUCCAGCUCCAUGUCAUAACAGAAAUGCGUUGACCUGGCUUCUAUGCCCAAACAUUGAUCAUGUGUCCUCUGCAUUGCAAAUUCUUGUUCACCUUGCUCAGGAGGACAAAGGUGAACUUGUCGAAAAGGUUCUUCAGCACUGCAACCCAGAAUUAUGCAUAGAUGCUCUUCGAAAACUGCUGAAGUCACCUGCCUCAUGGCUGAGUAGUACUGGAGCUUGUAUCUUUGGGGUCCUGCUGGAAAAUGAGUCCAUGGUGCUGAAACUUCAGAAGGGGACCAAAGGGGAAAGCAAUCUCAUAUGUGACCUUGUUCAGAUGUUUACUGAAGAUGAUCCUGAUGUUGUGAUGAAUGCUGCUGGAGCCAUAGCCUCAUUGGUUGAAACUACAUCAGGACGGACAUGGUUCCUUCAGAUCCAAAGUGUGUUCAGUGGGGUCCUUGAGAGCCUAUCAGUUCUUCUAGAGAAUGAGAGAGAGAAUACGGUUAACUCUGCAGCACUUAUUCUUGCACGACUGUCCCAGUGUGAAGAAACCUGUGAAAAGGUUUUAUCCCAUUCAUCUGCCUGCAAGAUCUUCAGAUGUUUAACACAAUGCUUGUCGUGUAGUCACAAAGACACAGCCAUGAAUGCGGCAUUUGCUGUUGGCCGUCUGUGUGGUAGCAAACAAGCCAAGAUCCUCAUUCUGAGAGUGGCCAAAGAGCAUCAGCUGGUUAGUCGCCUGCAGACUCUGCUGUUGAGUGGGUCAGGAGUGGAGAUGGGGCAAACAGUGUGCUUUGCUCUGAGCUGCUUAGCAAAUGAGGAAGAUGGCCAUGCUCUGCUGAUGGAAAGCACCUGUGUCCCUACAUUGCUGAAUGGUCUUUUACAGCUGUUGCAGAGCCCAGACCCAGACAGUAUCUGGUUUGCUGCUAUGUAG
ensembl:lncRNA